CGCAGGGACGCUAUUUAAAAAAUCCUAUAAUAUAGAAAAACGAUGCAGAAAUUUAACACAUGCAUGAUUUUUUAAAUUCAGACGUUUGUGAAACAAUUUACACGCAAAAUAAAUUAUAUAUCUAUAAAAGUAUGUUUUCCCAUAAAUCCUCUCCUGAUCGCUGAUUGGUUGUAAUUUUCGGCGGGCAAAUUUGAUUGUUGUUUGUGAGAGAAAACCUAGCGUGACUCAAAUGGAACCAUGUCAUGUUUUGAUUGAAUGGAAGAUCCAAAGAUUUUUCUGAGAAUAGGAGACGUCUACUGUUGUUGGACAUCAUUCAGGUAUGUCUUUUAGAGGGUAUUGAGUAAACAUUUCUGGAACUUUUUAAAACAAUCUUCCAUUAUGCAUUCUCACUGAAUAUUUUAGUAUGAAUCUGUCCAUAGCCAAUACUGGCAAUUGCCGUCUCAUUUAAACGAUUUUUGACGGGAUAUCAUGUUAUCUCUGACUGUACAAAUUUUCCUUUUCUCAUAAAAGAGCAAUGAUAUUUAAUAUUCAUUUCAUAAUCACAACAGAACACAUCAAAACAUGCUUGAUAUUCACCUUUUAGAAUUUUAAAUACAAAACAAAAUUAAAAAAUAUCCUGUCCCGAUUCGGAAACAGGACGUUAUCUAACCUAUUCUUUCUCUCUAUAUAUCAUUGUAGGUAUUUCCGGUGUUGACUUGAAACAUUUUCAUUCACGAUGUUGCGGAUUCAUCAUUGCAUUUGCAUGGGGUAGUGCAUAUGUUGUGUGUGGCCUUCUAAACGAUAAAUCUAUGGAUUAAAGGAUGAACAUGUCGAUGCAGGAAUAUUCAUUCUAAUGAUAAGGAAAUACGAAAUGCAAGGACAACCUCCAAGCAUGCAGUAUGCCUUAUACAAACAAUGAUGGGAUGUUCCAUUAUAUGGUGGCACCCAGUUUUUAUUGGUGGAAGAGAGAACCCAGAUACAAUGUACCUGGGAAGAGACCAUCGACCUUCCGAAAGUAAACUGGGAAACUUUCUCACUUAACGGCAUGAGCGGGAUUGGAACCCUCGCCAACAGAGAAUCCUGAAAUGAUCUUGUACAUGUAAAUGCAUGCAGUGGUGGAUCCAGGAUUUGUUAAAGGGGGGAUAGGGCUCCAGGCUUUUGAGGCUUUUUAGAACUAGAUGAGCAGAAGAUGCAUUCCAUGACUGACUCCCCAUAUGAUAUGAAAGACAGUCCAUGAGAAUGGAACCAACUUUCAGUGUUACAGUGGAUGAACACUCCUCCUGUCACAAGUCCAUCUUGAUUCAGUAAAGUGGUAGUCUAUUCAUCAAGGAAGCAACAAGACGGAUCUGGACAAGGACCAUAAUGACUCAAGUUUUGGUGUCAGAAGACCAUUUUGAUUAAACAUGUUAAAAGCACCACAGAAGUAAGAAGCUAGGAUACCAGUUUUAUACACUAAAGAGUCGAAAGGCCCAGCUGGAGAGAGAUUCCCAUUUCUCGACCAAGGACAAAAAAAAAAAAAAAGAUUAAAAAGGUGCUGACUAAGGAGGCAACGUCUCCAGAAGUAACGGAUGAUGAGGAAGCCACCCAGAGGAAGGUCUUACCAUUUAUAUGGGAGUCAUCCCUGCUGCGUAAUGUUAAGUGCGACCUGGACAGAGAGUAUGCUGAAUCUUUGCAACUUCAAUCAAAGAGACAAAAAGCCAAAGCCAUUAGAAGUAGAACGGAAAUGACUAUGACCCCACCACCUAGGAGCAUUCAAGAGUGGGCCGUUUCCUCUACUUAUAAAUGAUGCUAUUACUGUUAAUAGUUAUAUUUAAUUUCCUCAUUUCCAGCUCACCUGAGCCAAAGGCUCAAGGUCACAAUUAAUAAUAUUAUACCGUUAUAACCAGUUUUUAUACGCCCGUCUUAAGACGGGACGUAUUAUGGUAUGGCGUUCAUGUCCGUCCGUCUGUUAGCUUUUUCGUGUCCGACCCGUAACUUAAAUACUACAAGGCCUAGAAUCAUCAAACUUUGUCUGUAGAUACAUCUUGGGUAGAAGGUGUGUCGCACAUUAAAACCAGGUGACUGUGACUUUUCAUUAAGAAGAUAUCCGUCUGUCCGUCCGUCUGUUCGCUUUUUCGUGUCCGACCCGUAAUUUAAAUACUACAAGGCCUAGAAUCAUCAAACUUUGUAGAUACAUCUUGGGUAGAGGGUGUGUCGCACAUUAAAACCAGGUCACUGUGACUUUUCAUUAAGAAGAUAUCCGUCUGUCCGUCCGUCUGUUCGCUUUUUCGUGUCCGACCCGUAAUUUAAAUACUACAAGGCCUAGAAUCAUCAAACUUUGUAGAUACAUCUUGGGUAGAGGGUGUGUCGCACAUUAAAACCAGGUCACUGUGACUUUUCAUUAAGAAGAUAUGGCCAUAUAUGGCAAAAACUUGUCCGGCUCAUAACUUGAAAACUAUUAGACCUAGAAUCACCAAAAUUGGUCAACUAAUGCAUCUUAGGUAGAAGGUGUGUCCCAUCCUACUUUAAGGUCACUGUGACAUUUAAUUAAGGUGAUAUAAAAAAAAAUGUUUUAAUGGGUACAAUCUAUACUGUUAACAAUAUGUGACGGGCGUAUCAUGUGCCGUGGCGGUGCACUUUAUUAUGAAAUUUUGAUAAUGCUGUUGAAGGAGAAUUGCAAUUUUUCGGAUGUUUAUAAUUGACACUGUUUAAGUACAGUAUGUCUAGCAUCUUAAAAAGUGUGAUGACCUAUAUAUUUCAUUUGAUAAUUUAUUAAUUUUAACUUUAAUAAAUUGAAAUAAAUGCAUUUUUGAUACUUUUAUCAGAGAAUAUUGCAAGUAUGGAGUUACCUUGAUAUAUUUAUAGAGAUUUGUUCUGCUUUAGUACUAGUGUAUCAGUAUUAUUACAUCAAGUUCAUUUGUGUGAAUAUUAUAAUAUUUAAGAAUGAAUAAAACUGUCAAAUUGUG